rnacentral:rRNA from 1 species
AUGAACGCUGGCGGCGUGCCUAACACAUGCAAGUCGAGCGAGAUUUAGUGGAGUGGAGACUUCGGUUGAAGCGAAGCUAAUGAAAGCGGCGGACGGGUGAGUAACGCGUGGGCAACCUGCCCCAUACAAAGGGAUAGCCACUGGAAACGGUGAUUAAUACCUUAUAAGUCGGUAGUCUCGCAUGAGACAGCCGACAAAGAUUUAUCGGUAUGGGAUGGGCCCGCGUUUGAUUAGCUAGUUGGUGAGGUAACGGCUCACCAAGGCGACGAUCAAUAGCCGACCUGAGAGGGUGAUCGGCCACACUGGAACUGAGACACGGUCCAGACUCCUACGGGAGGCAGCAGUGGGGAAUAUUGCACAAUGGGCGCAAGCCUGAUGCAGCAACGCCGCGUGAGUGAUGAAGGCCUUCGGGUCGUAAAACUCUGUCCUAUGGGAAGAAAAAAAUGACGGUACCAUAGGAGGAAGCCCCGGCUAACUACGU